rfam:Ruminococcus sp. CAG:177 genomic scaffold, scf101
GCACUUGAUAGAGGAUGCGAACGAGAAGAGUAUCCAGUAGCAACGCCGGCAAGCGGCAGCUGGGGAAAGGCAAGUUCGCCGAAGUUCUAUCGCGGUUGCCGCCGCGGUAAUGCUGGGCCCUCGCCGAACAGGCGACGGACUGUCACAUGACUUAUGUGGAGCGCUAUCAUCGGU